GAUGAACGCUGGCGGCGUGCCUAAUACAUGCAAGUCGAGCGAAUGGAUUAAGAGCUUGCUCUUAUGAAGUUAGCGGCGGACGGGUGAGUAACACGUGGGUAACCUGCCCAUAAGACUGGGAUAACUCCGGGAAACCGGGGCUAAUACCGGAUAACAUUUUGAACCGCAUGGUUCGAAAUUGAAAGGCGGCUGCGGCUGUUACUUAUGGAUGGACCCGGGUCGCAUUAGCUAGUUGGUGAGGGAACGGCUCACCAAGGCAACGAUGCGUAGCCGACCUGGGAGGGUGAUCGGCCACACUGGGACUGAGACACGGCCCAGACUCCUACGGGAGGCAGCAGUAGGGAAUCUUCCGCAAUGGACGAAAGUCUGACGGAGCAACGCCGCGUGAGUGAUGAAGGCUUUCGGGUCGUAAAACUCUGUUGUUAGGGAAGAACAAGUGCUAGUUGAAUAAGCUGGCACCUUGACGGUACCUAACCAGAAAGCCACGGCUAACUACGUGCCAGCCGCCGCCGUAA
rnacentral:rRNA from 1 species